rnacentral:rRNA from 1 species
AUACGUAGGGGGCGAGCGUUGUCCGGAAUGAUUGGGCGUAAAGGGCGCGUAGGCGGCUUUGCAAGUCAGUAGUGGAAGUCCAUUUUUCAAGGAUGGAAGUGCUACAGAAACUGCGGAGCUUGAGUGCAGGAGAGGUUAUCGGAAUUCCCGGUGUAGCGGUGAAAUGCGUAGAGAUCGGGAGGAACACCAGUGGCGAAGGCGGGUAACUGGACUGCAACUGACGCUGAGGCGCGAAAGUGUGGGGAGCAAACAGGAUUAGAUACCCUGGUAGUCCACACUGUAAACGAUGAAUGCUAGGUGUAGGAGGUAUCGACCCCUUCUGUGCCGCAGUAAACACAGUAAGCAUUCCGCCUGGGGAGUACGGUCGCAAGAUGAAAACUCAAAUGAAUAGACGGGC